UCUAAAUGCACAGUUUCCAUAUGCGCAAUUUCGGUGCCCCGGCAACACCGUCCAAAAUUGACAUAUUUUGUCUAUUGUGAAUGGUGCUUGUGAUUGACAGCAAGAAAUUUAUUAAAAGCGAAGCCAAAAGAAAAACAAAUCAGACGUAAGUAGUUUUAAUAAAUUUGUUAAAAAUAAGUAGAACUAUGUUAACAAAAAGCAUUUUAUCUAGUUUCAGAUGUCGAGCGACAAAAAACGCAGCACUUGGAGCACCAGCGACGAAAAAGUGCUCCUGGAUUUGUGGGCCGAACGUGCCGCUGACUUGCGACGCGCUAAACGCAAUCUACAUAUUUAUGCAGAUAUAUCCAUACAAAUGGCCUCAAAAUUUACGGCAAAGGAGGUUCAUGUUUAAAUUCGUAACAUGACCCAAAGAUAUAGAGAAGAAAAGAAAAAAGUUGGACCGUCUGGUGGUAGUCCAUCUCUUUGGAAACAUUUUGAUGCUGUCCACCAAAUUAUUGGAUUCAAUGCAGCAAACAUCGCUGAGAUAUUGGAAUCGUUUUCAAUUUUAAGAUGCAUCGUCAUCAGGCCUGCCGCCGUUGCCUUCACAAGCACUCACUCUUUUACCAUCCCCAUCCGCAGUACCUUCACCAUCAUCAUCCACAGUGCCUCUACCAUCACCAUCAUCAUCCACAGUUCCUCCACCAUCACCAUCAUCAUCCGCUGUACCUCCACCGUCACCAUCUCAAGUCGCUCAGUCCCGGUCCCCCCAAAUUUUGUCACCGCUUCCUUCGCCAAUUGACACAUCGUCCACAUCCAUGGCUGCAGCUGCCACAUCGUCUGGAAGGAAGAGAAAUUAUAUGGGUGAAGUCUUGAAAAUAGCUAAAGAACAGACUGAGCUUUUAAAAGAGGUUAUACAAGACGGAAAAGUAUUCACCACCGAAUGUGUUAAUGCCAUUAAAGAGCAGAGUAGUGCUACGAAAGAGUUCAUAAAUAUAAUGAAAAAUGUAUUAGAGAAAAUGUAAUUUUCAAAUGCUUCUCCUCACAAUUUCAGAACUUAUACUCGAUUUGUUCAAAUAAAUUUAAGUGAAAGGUAUGCAAUUUUAAGAAAAAGCAAUGGCUUAGUUUUUA